CUCUCUCUCUCUCUCUCUCUCUCUCUCUCUCUCUCUCUCUCCAUCUUAGAGCAUUUUCUGGGCAAGAACAUGACAGGUUGGUUCUGCGGUGGUUCUGUUGUGCCGCUGUCGCUUGUCUUUCCUGCUUGUGUUUAGUCAUGGUGGGUGGUAGUUUAUAAAAGUGCAGGGAACUAAAGGCGUUUAUUGGAUCUUAAUCUGGUGUUGGUGUUUUGGUGACUGGUAUCUGAAAAUGGUGGGGGGCUUUAUUUGGGUUCUGUUGGUGUUUGUGUUUUGAGGUAUUGGUGUCUGAAUCAGAAGGGUUUCUUUGCUUUUUUGUUUCUUAUAGGCAGAAGGGGUUUGUUUUGGCUGUUGUUACUUGUUUUAGUGUGGGUAUUUUGUGGUGGUGUUGGUGAAAAGUAGGAGUGAGAUAUAUAUGGGGAGAUCACCCUGCUGUGACAAAAGGGGUCUGAAAAAGGGGCCAUGGACUCCCGAGGAGGAUGAGAUUUUGUUGAGUAUAUCAACAAGAAUGGUGGGCAUGGAAGCUGGAGGUCUCUCCGUAAUCUUGCAGCUGCUCCCACUACUUCUGUAGUGCCGUCUCUUGACAAAGUUGAUUUCUUAAAGCUUCAAAAUGGCAGGUAUAGAAUAGGCCACCAUUGCAUGUUCUCAGAUUUUAAAAUGUUCUGUUCUCUGGGAUACAUAAGAGUUGUUGUAGCGUUGAUUAACAUAUAUCUAUUUUCUCCUAUUUUAAUCUUACGAGAAUUGUGAAUCACCAAUGGAUUUAUGAUUUUCAAUUGCUCCUUGCAUUGAUUUGAAGUUAAUACUUGCCAAUCAUAGUUUUAAGGAGAAGUGAUGUCUUGAUCUAAUUUACAAAUGUGCUGGUGAAAUGUUUUGUUUCAACACUGUAUUCCCCACAGGAAUAACUUUCAGUUUGACAUUUACAGUUCUCGACUGAUCGGGACAUGCAGCAGGUUCCAGACAAUGAGAGAGUGGUGUAAAAUAAAAACAUGAGUAGAACUUUCCAUAAAGUUUCCAUGAACCCUUGAGAGUUUUAUGUAGAGCUCUGCUUACGUAAUGUGAAAUGAUGAAAAUAUAUGGUCAACUUAAUGCCGCUAUCACCUCCUCAAGCAUACAAAACCUUCAACGGUCAACUUUCAAAUCUAUGGCUUGUGAUUGUAUUUAACUGGUAGCAGUAACAGCUUCCUGCUGGUCUUUUGGACCAAAAUAUUGCCCAUGUUAAUUUCAUUUUCUCUGACCUGUUUUACAGAUGGUGCCUUAACCUCUAUUUCCUAACAAGCAUAUGAUUGGUGUCACUUAUGGAUGAUGUUGAAUGUACACAGUGAUAUACGAGGUGUUUCGUUUCUUUUUUUUUUUUUUUUUGUGUUGAUCCUCUUGUUGGCAGAUGCUUUAGGAUCUGCUAAGAUCAAUGCUUUAGGAUCUGUCAUUUGUUGUUGUUGCCCGCAGUUUGAGUUCGAGGCUGAGGCAGGGAAAGACUUGAGGAUCUCCGAAGCCUUGUGAACUGCACAACCUGCUUUCAUAUACGUGAUCUCUUUCGGUCCAAUCACUUGAAGUUGCUAUUUGGUGUGGAGAUUAAAUAAUUGAUGGAAAUGCAUCUGAUUUUGUAAUUUAUAUAUUGUAAUUUAUAUAUUGUAAUUUUGUAUUUUGUAAUGUAUAUAUAGCAAAUAAUGGAAUAUGUAGUGGAUUGCAUUAUGAUGCAUGCAUAGAUGAA